GGCUCUCUAGGGAACAAUCCUGAGAUGAGGAGACAAGUACAAGAUGGAUUGAGGAAAUGCUCCCACAGGGCAGCUGGCAGGGAGCAGGAGAGUGGGGAGAACAGUGAGGCAGGGUCUUAAGUGCAAUCAAGCCUUACUGCAGCCCAUGGGGAAGCUCUGCCAUUUAAACUCUGCUUCCGACUUUAUUCCCACUCCAAUCAGAGGGACUCAUCGACUAAGAAACUGGGUUAGGGUGGGAUCAGCUCCCAAGAAUUUCCAGCUUCCUCCAGCUGUCCAAGAACAGGCUUCUGGAAAGUUCCAUGUGAGGAAGUACAUUUCCACAGCGCCAUGACCACAGGGUGGGAUGAACUCAGCGCCUCACGCACGCGCUGUGCCGCGUGCCUACCUGUCCUUCCAUCCUGCCGUCCGGACAUCCCAUGCCUGCCUGUCAUGCAGCCGAGACUGAGAGCUAUCCAUCCGCCAAAAGAAGAAACUGAGAGCCAAACACAGGAGGGAGAGAAAGAGCCACGAGCACCCCACAUCGUGAAACCAGCACCCGGGCUUCUGACUGUGAAGCCCCUUCUGAAUUCCCCAGACAGGAAGCCCAGUCGUGGUUGCCAGGCACCCAGGAAAGGCAGAAGUGAGCAGUCAGGACUCACCGACAUAGGGUUUCUUUGUGGGGUGAUGAGAGCAUUCUAAAAUUAGGGUGGCGAUGAUUCACAA